rnacentral:rRNA from 1 species
AACGUAGGACACGAGCGUUAUCCGGAGUUACUGGGCGUAAAGGGCGUGUAGGCGGACCUAUAAGUCUAUUCUGAAAGCUCCUGGCUAAACUGGGAGAGGCGAAUGGAGACUGUAGAUCUAGAGUGAGGAAGAGGAAAGUGGAAUUCCGCGUGUAGUGGUGAAAUGCGUAGAGAUGCGGAGGAACACCAGUGGCGAAAGCGACUUUCUGGUCCUUAACUGACGCUGAGGCGCGAAAGCAUGGGGAGCGAACGGG